AACGAACGCUGGCGGCGUGCCUAACACAUGCAAGUCGAACGAGAAAGGUCGCAAGACUGAGUACAGUGGCGCACGGGUGAGUAAUACAUAGGAAUCUUCCCUUUAGUGAAGAAUACCCUGGAGAAAUCCAGGCUAAUACUGCAUAAGCCCAGAAAUGGGGAAAGGUGGCCUCAAGCUACCGCUGAAGGAUGAGCCUGUGUCCUAUUAGUUAGUUGGCAGGGUAAUGGCCUACCAAGACAAAGAUGGGUAUCCGGCCUGAGAGGGUGUACGGACACACUGGAACUGAAACACGGUCCAGACUCCUACGGGAGGCAGCAGUGGGGAAUAUUGCACAAUGGGCGCAAGCCUGAUGCAGCGACGCCGCGUGGAGGAUGACGGUCUUCGGAUUGUAAACUCCUGUUAAGUGGAAGAAAGACAGUAUCUAAUACAUGCUGGGGAUGACGGUA
rnacentral:rRNA from 1 species